rnacentral:rRNA from 1 species
UACGUAGGGUGCAAGCGUUGUCCGGAAUUAUUGGGCGUAAAGAGCUCGUAGGCGGUUUGUUGCGUCGGCUGUGAAAUCCCAAGGCUCAACCUCGGGUCUGCAGUCGAUACGAGCAAACUAGAGUGUUGCAGGGGAGACUGGAAUUCCUGGUGUAGCGGUGAAAUGCGUAGAUAUCAGGAGGAACACCGGUGGCGAAGGCGGCUUUCUGGACAGUAACUGACGCUGAGGCGCGAAAGCUAGGGGAGCAAACAGG